GAUGAACGCUGGCGGCGUGCCUAAUACAUGCAAGUCGAGCGAACAGACGAGGAGCUUGCUCCUCUGACGUUAGCGGCGGACGGGUGAGUAACACGUGGAUAACCUACCUAUAAGACUGGGAUAACUUCGGGAAACCGGAGCUAAUACCGGAUAAUAUAUUGAACCGCAUGGUUCAAUAGUGAAAGACGGUUUUGCUGUCACUUAUAGAUGGAUCCGCGCCGCAUUAGCUAGUUGGUAAGGUAACGGCUUAACAAGGCAACGAUGCGUAGCAGAACUGAGAGAGUGGUCACCCACACUGGUAGUGAGACACGGUCCAGACUCCUACGGAAGGCAAAAGUAGGGAAUGUUCCGCAAUGGACGAAAGCAUGACGGAACAACGCCGAGUGAGUGAUGAAGGUCUUGGGAUCGUAAAAAUAUGUUAUUAGGGAAGAACAAAUGUGUAAGUAACUAUGCACGUCUUGACGGUACCUAAUCAGAAAGCCCCGGCUACCUACGUG
rnacentral:rRNA from 1 species